rnacentral:rRNA from 1 species
AUCGAACGCUGGCGGCAGGCCUAACACAUGCAAGUCGAACGAGUGGCGGACGGGUGAACAAUGUCUGGGCAACUGCCUGACGGAGGGGGAUAACUACUGGAAACGUUAGAUACAACCGCAUACCAUCAGAUGUGCCCCGAUGGGAUUAGCUUGUGGGUGGGGUAACGGCUCACCAAGGCGACGAUCCCUAGCUGGUCUGAGAGGGUGACCAGCCACACUGGAACUGAGACACGGUCCAGACUCCUACGGGAGGCAGCAGUGGGGAAUAUUGGACAAUGGGCGCAAGCCUGAUCGAGCCAUGCCGCGUGUAUGAAGAAGGCCUUCGGAUUGUAAAGUACUUUCAGCGGGGAGGCGUUACCCGCAGAAGAAGCACCGGCUAACUCCGUGCCAGCAGCCGCGGUAAUUC